UGAACGCUGGCGGCGUGCCUAAUACAUGCAAGUCGAGCGAACAGACGAGGAGCUUGCUCCUCUGACGUUAGCGGCGGACGGGUGAGUAACACGUGGAUAACCUACCUAUAAGACUGGGAUAACUUCGGGAAACCGGAGCUAAUACCGGAUAAUAUAUUGAACCGCAUGGUUCAAUGGUGAAAGACGGUUUUGCUGUCACUUAUAGAUGGAUCCGCGCCGCAUUAGCUAGUUGGUAAGGUAACGGCUUACCAAGGCAACGAUGCGUAGCCGACCUGAGAGGGUGAUCGGCCACACUGGAACUGAGACACGGUCCAGACUCCUACGGGAGGCAGCAGUAGGGAAUCUUCCGCAAUGGGCGAAAGCCUGACGGAGCAACGCCGCGUGAGUGAUGAAGGUCUUCGGAUCGUAAAACUCUGUUAUUAGGGAAGAACAAAUGUGUAAGUAACUAUGCACGUCUUGACGGUACCUAAUCAGAAAGCCACGGCUAACUACGUG
rnacentral:rRNA from 1 species